GCUAAACGCGAAGAACCUUACCAAAUCUUGACACCCUUUGAAAACUCUAGAGAUAGAGCCUUCCCCUUCGGGGGACAAAGUGACAGGUGGUGCAUGGUUGUCGUCAGCUCGUGUCGUGAGAUGUUGGGUUAAGUCCCGCAACGAGCGCAACCCUUAAGCUUAGUUGCCAUCAUUAAGUUGGGCACUCUAGGUUGACUGCCGGUGACAAACCGGAGGAAGGUGGGGAUGACGUCAAAUCAUCAUGCCCCUUAUGAUUUGGGCUACACACGUGCUACAAUGGACAAUACAAAGGGCAGCUAAACCGCGAGGUCAUGCAAAUCCCAUAAAGUUGUUCUCAGUUCGGAUUGUAGUCUGCAACUCGACUACAUGAAGCUGGAAUCGCUAGUAAUCGUAGAUCAGCAUGCUACGGUGAAUACGUUCCCGGGUCUUGUACACACCG
rnacentral:rRNA from 1 species